CGUACACUCCUACGGGAGGCAGCAGUGGGGAAUAUUGGACAAUGGGCGCAAGCCUGAUCCAGCCAUGCCGCGUGAGUGAUGAAGGCCCUAGGGUUGUAAAGCUCUUUCACCGGUGAAGAUAAUGACGGUAACCGGAGAAGAAGCCCCGGCUAACUUCGUGCCAGCAGCCGCGGUAAUACGAAGGGGGCUAGCGUUGUUCGGAUUUACUGGGCGUAAAGCGCACGUAGGCGGACUAUUAAGUCAGGGGUGAAAUCCCGGGGCUCAACCCCGGAACUGCCUUUGAUACUGGUAGUCUUGAGUUCGAGAGAGGUGAGUGGAAUUCCGAGUGUAGAGGUGAAAUUCGUAGAUAUUCGGAGGAACACCAGUGGCGAAGGCGGCUCACUGGCUCGAUACUGACGCUGAGGUGCGAAAGCGUGGGGAGCAAACAGGAUUAGAAACCCCGGUAGUCCCAU
rnacentral:rRNA from 1 species